UACACACAGGACAAGCCAUCCACUUCUAAGAUCCUGUCUUCAAGAGGUGGCAGGCCUUGUUUUGCCUUUGCUAGAAGUCUGGAGCACAAAAGGAAAAACUUAGUGUCACAACCCAAGGGUGUGAUUUUUGUUUGUGUGUGCUUCGGCACUGCUGAAUUAUUUCCCGCCAUUUGUAGCUUUCUUUGCAGGGUGCAUUUCUUCGUUGCAGCACAGAAAUGCACGUUGCAAGGAGUUCCCGCCAUUUGUAUUCAGAUUUGUGCCCCACUAUUGGCCAGUUCUAAAUUAUUCCUACGUGGCGGCUAGCGAUUGGUUUGCUAGCCGUAUAAGAGGCUUGAGUGGUUUCCACCCAAGUUGGAGGACUCCACGAACAUCAGGAAGAGGAGACUUCACGUCUUGUGAAGAUCUCUAAGUGCUGCGGAGCCUAUUGGACCCAGCGUGUAUAUCAAGAAGGCUACAGGGGUCUGAUCAGCCUCUCGCCUCUCCCUGUCGCCGAACGAUCCCUCGACAUACCCUUCCCUGUGCGCAAGUUCCACGGAGCCUAGCAAACUUCGUGUGAGUGAAUCCAGAGCUCUGUCCAAGUCCUUAAACUGGGACUUAAGCAAAGUUUUCCUGGAAGUCUUUCCAGCCUGCACCGCGACCAUCUACAGUAUCAGUCGUCAUGUCCACUCUUGUGGUAAAGUGGAUGACAUCUGGAUAAACUAAAUCACAGGUUACGAAACGCCUGGACACAGGAGGAGGGGUGGAUGUCGUGUACUUAGACUUCAGGAAGGCCUUUGAUACGGUUGUCUGAUCUCAUAUGGCGUGCUUUAAACUAGCUUCACCGGGGGAUGGGGCCACAGGAGGACACGAGGACACCUCCCAGCCAAGACAGGUGAAGAGCGCAAAAGGUACCCAGGGACCGGGACUUCUCCCCCACUGGGAUUCAGGACAGACUCAGGAGUGACUCCGCCAGGCCUAGGGAGUCAGGCUCUGGAUAGUGUUCAAGCUUCUGGAGUUCAGUUUGAAGUAAACCACAUCAUCCAGAUCCCAGCACAAGAAGUUUUUCAG